rnacentral:lncRNA from 1 species
AGAUUAAAAGGACAGCCAGGGACAUAAAGAACGGAAUCUAUAGUGACAGAGGAUAGGGGAUUCGCUUGUCCAACUCCUUUUGCUUUAGUUUGAGACCCAUUUGCUAAAGUAACAUUGGGAAGAGACUGUGAAUACGCAAUAUUUGACAAAAAGGAUUUAUUACCAGAGAUAUGAUCAGAAGCGGCUGAGUACACAACCCAUUGUUCAAGAGGACUACACUGGGAAACACAAGCAAAAGAAUUACCAGCAACAGAAGUAUCAGGCUGAGCAACAGUGGCUACUUGUGGAGACGUCUGCUUACUUACUUGAUAUUUAAGGAACUCGUUAUACUCCCUUUCAGAUACAGAAAAUCCCUGGUUACCUGUAGUCUCGGUCGGAGCAACAUAAGCAUUUUUUGUUGGUCGACCAUGUAAA